GACGAACGCUGGCGGCGCGCUUAACACAUGCAAGUCGAGCGAGAACCAGGACUUCGGUCCUGGGGACAGCGGCGAACGGGUGAGUAACACGUGGGUAAUCUGCCCUCGAUUCUGGGAUAGCCCGGGGAAACCCGGAUUAAUACCGGAUAGCCUUCCAGGUUCUCGGACCGGGAAGAAAGGUAGCUUCGGCCUCCGAUCGAGGAUGAGCCCGCGGUGGAUUAGCUUGUUGGCGGGUAACGGCCCACAAGGCGACGAUCCAUAGCUGGUCUGAGAGGACGAUCAGCCACACUGGGACUGAGACACGGCCCAGACUCCGACGGGAGGCUG
rnacentral:rRNA from 1 species